UCCGGGACCCCAGCACGGCUGCGGGGUGUGCCCAGGGAGAGGGAUGCCUCCACUCCAGGGCUGCAGUUUGCCCGAAAGGGAGAGAGAGGUUAUUGGAACUGCACCUGCCUUCCGUGGGAUGGGUGUCAGGCAGACUGUGACAGGGGCAUGGUCAGCCCGUGUACAUAAAUCCAUCCACAUCUAGCCUAGGAACUCAUCCCAGGCUAGAGAAAGAGCUGGCCGGCACCAUUGUGGACCCCAGUGCAUUAUUUACAAAAGUCUUGGGGUUCUGAAGAUGUCCUGGCUGACAGGAAGCUGGCUAAGGUUAUCCUGGUUUUCAAUACAGCCUAUCACUCACUUUUACCCUGAUGACAAUGUUGAGAAAGAACCACUAGGUUUUGCAACACAAGUUGCACAAACAUCCCAGUGCAGGUGCAAUCUUAUGGGAGAGAGGAAACCUGGACAAGGAGUUCUGUGAGAAAAAGCAGAUAUGACAGGCACAGAUUAGGAGGAAGAUGGAGAAGCAGUUAGAGAAGAGCAAUCAGGAAGGGAGGAAAUCUUUUUCCUGGAAGAAAAAUAUAGAGCGUGACAAUUCACAGGAGUAAUAAAAGAUAAGAAAAACAGAAAACAGUGAAAGGAGGAAAUAAGCAAUCCUGACAUAUCCUGAAAAUAAGAAAUAACAAAUUGGCAGAGAGCAAACAAAAUUCAAAGAAAUAAGGAUUCAAUACAACUCUGUUUAGAAGAUCCAAAAAGACCUUUACACUGUUAAUGCUGCUCUUGGCCCCAGAGUUUCUGACUCCUGCUAGUACCAAAAGGAGUGGGAGGAAGAGCAUUUGACUGGCCCUUGGUCUGGAAGCUAGCCAGCAGCACUGCAGAACUUCUGCUUUUUUUCUUUUUUAAUUGUUUUUGCUAGUGAUUACAAAUAUUUCUCAUUACGUGCUUUCUAGGAGGAAGCUUGGUGUAAAUAACCCAUUUUUUUCUCUGUAAAUCCCUCCUCUUACACUGCUCAUGUUUUGGGUUUCCUUCCACUGAAUAUUCUCAAAAUAGUCUCACUAAUUCUGUCUACCUCCUGAGGUACAAAUUAUUCCAUGUCAAUAGACUGGACUUUAGUUGGGAAUUUGGUACAUAGCAAGCAUGUAAAAAUAUUAGUGUACUGUUUAAAUCACAACCUCGUACAUCCACUUACCCUUGUCAUAUCAAGACUAGAUUCUUCACUGACUUCUGUUGGGUGAUUUUGUCAUUUGGUUUAUGACAGAAGUCUUCAAGUGGCCAAUCGGUUUCUUUAACUAUUUCUUUUUUUUACCAGAGGUAGAAUAUGUCCUUAACCAGUUAACUUUCAGUCAAAUUUUUCUUUUUUCCUGAGGAUUUCUAAUAAGUUUGUGAACCUCCAAAGUUCUACUAAAAACUUUAUGUGAUUUUUCUUCUUUUCAGUACUCUGUGACCUACCCUUUUGAGGCCCAAUGUGUAGCCAGAGUAAUGAGUUUCUUUUCAAACACAUCUUGCCUUGAAACUUCAGGAUAAUUUUAGUUUUUUCCUAUUUCUCAUUUGCAACAACAAUGGAGCUCAGCAGGUCUGUGGGAAACUGAAAUAAACUGGGACAGAGGCCGAGAUGGAAAUAUUUCAGCUGAAAAUCUGCUCUCAAAAAUGAGGGAUCGGUUGCAACCAAGUGGGAGAGAGAACCCUUUGUUAGUUUGGUAUGAUACCUGAUAUUAUAAAAAUCACAGAGAAGCAGAUGUUCCUUAUCCAAGAGACUAGGUGUUGGGUUUUCUUGUUUCCAAAAUAACCUUCCAAGACAGCACAAGGCGUGGGGAAAUAACAAUUUCUUCUGUUUCUGGUAGAAGUUCUUCUGGCUAUACCUGCUCCAGUAAAUGAACUUGGCCUGAGACUGUGUUUGGGUCUAAGUGGACUGGGAUGGCCUGUGUCAGUGCUGAACAACUGCAAGAGUUUUCCAGGAGACCUGCCUGGAGGGAAUAGCCACCACAGUCAUUUAACUCUCAAAACACUAAAAAGUCCCCAGGAAUUGUUUGGGUACAGCACUGUUUGUGAAAGGAUGAACUCAUGGCAGGCAAAGCUCUCUUCACCAGCCCAGAUGUUCUCGGCCUGGUGCUCGGAAAUGUUUCCAGGCAUGCUUGGAUUUGGUCAUGCAGACACAGCCUGAAGGUGUAAUAGUGUUUCAGGGGGCCCAUGUGUUAGAGAUGUGUUUUAUGACUUUUAUGUAAUGUAGAUCUUCUCUUACUGGUGUCUUGAAAUCUCCAUGGGAACAAAUAAAGAUAUAAAGGUGUUAUUCUGUCUCUGUGUAACACAAAGAGAAGGAACAAACAAACGUGGAGUGUUUGGGCUUUUUAAUAAAUCCCUAGUUUGCAUGAAGCAUGUUCUGACUAAGGCACGCAAUGGGCAAAUUAGAAACCUGCAAAUUAAAAUAUAUGUGAUUGAUAGUGGUCAUUAAACAGAUCUUUUCAAUCAAUCAAGUACUAAGAGUGUUCCUACUUACCUUCAAAGCAGUUGUGAAAUUUAUCAUCCUAAUACAUGCAAAAGUUUCCUUUUGUGGAUCCAGCAAAUACUGCUAAGCCACCCACGCCACACACAUGCUCCCAGGCUCUAUAAAUUUUGAGAUGGUGCAAGUUCAGAUCCAUUCCAAUUGCCAGAAAAAAACACUAAAAAAGGAUCAGCAAAUGCAAACCAGAACAGAAACCUAAAUAAAAUACUCCAGAAGGUUCCCUUAUCCCAUUGUAUUCCAGUAAAUUAUGUGUACUUUCCUGUGUGUUUUGGCACCAGAAAAAAAUACAAAUCUGUCUCUUAAUUAUGCAAACACAAGGAAUAUGUGAGUCCUUGAAAACAAAUCUCUUGAGCUGUGCUAUGAAACUUUCUAAAAGAUUCAUGUCACCCUGACACCCUGUCACUUCUAAGCAAGAACAUAAUAUUUCAUCACAGGAAAACUGGUUUGUUGAAUUGGGCUUUACAAGUUAUAACACAAGCAAAGUGCUGUACAGCAUCUUUCAGGAUUGACCUUGAUUUUUUUUUAGAAGUAGAAGCACUUCAGAGAAAUGCUUUGGCAAAGCCUCCUUGGUGCAAUCUGGAAAUUUUCUGGUAUGUAUAAAGACAUACCUAGACACGGUUUGUGCCUGAGUGUGGGACCUAUGGGAAAUGGCUCAAGA